AUUGAACGCUGGCGGCAGGCCUAACACAUGCAAGUCGAGCGGAGCGGCGGACGGGUGCGUAAUGCCUAGGAAUCUGCCUGGUAGUGGGGGAUAACGUCCGGAAACGGGCGCUAAUACCGCACACUAUCAGAUGAGCCUAGGUCGGAUUAGUUAGGUGGUGGGGUAAGGGCCCACCAAGGCGACGAUCCGUAGCUGGUCUGAGAGGAUGAUCAGUCACACUGGAACUGAGACACGGUCCAGACUCCUACGGGAGGCAGCAGUGGGGAAUAUUGGACAAUGGGCGAAAGCCUGAUCCAGCCAUGCCGCGUGUGUGAAGAAGGUCUUCGGAUUGUAAAGCACUUUAAGUUGGGAGGCGUUACCAACAGAAGAAGCACCGGCUAACUUCGUGCCAGCAGCCGCGGUAAUUC
rnacentral:rRNA from 1 species